rnacentral:misc_RNA from 1 species
UUUUUAAAACAUUCGGAAGAAGCGGUAUAUCACCUUUUCAAAAAGUCUCGAUAAAAUCGCGCGUAAAAUUCGUUAGAAAGUUUUCUCGUCGUUCCUCCUCAAUCUCCUCUUGGUUUUAUCUUGGUGAGCAAAUAAACCAUUCCAUGCGAUGACAAACGAGACUGCGAAGAUCGUUGAGAAGGGUAUAUUUCACGCGUUCGCUCUGGGAUGCGAUGUCUGGCGAAUCGCUCGUAACGAUCGUGUGGGCUUUUUAAUUUUUCAGGAUUACAGGGAACGGUGGGGAACAAAGUGCGCGGGCUGUGGAGAAUACGUGGAGGGCGACGUGGUCACUGCCGGAGACAAGCAUGCCUUCCAUCCCAACUGUUUCCACUGCCAACGAUGCAGACAACCGUUACUCGGACAGGGGACCAAGGUUUCCCUCGUCCAAGGUCAAGCUCUUUGCCACCGAUGCGUCGGUAUCCCUGUCCGAGAGGCCUCGACGCCAAUCGGGAAUAGCUCCGCCACCAGAGGAUCCGGAGACGGGCCCUCCGACCCCGGUGCCUGCGCUGGUUGUGGAAACCAAUUACGAGAAGGUCAGGCUUUGGUAGCUCUCGAUCGACAGUGGCACGUAUGGUGUUUAAAAUGUCACAGCUGUGACACCGUCCUUCACGGAGAGUAUAUGGGAAAAGACGGGGUGCCUUAUUGCGAGAAGGAUUACCAGAAAUUGUUCGGUGUGAAAUGCGCCUAUUGCAAUCGUUACAUCAGCGGAAAGGUGCUGCAGGCAGGUGACAAUCAUCAUUUUCACCCGACUUGUGCCCGUUGUACCAAGUGUGGCGAUCCUUUUGGCGAUGGAGAGGAGAUGUACNNGCAGGGCGCUGCCAUUUGGCAUCCCCGUUGUGGCCCGGGUCCUAGCGGACCCAAUGGUAUCGUGAACGGCCACGGAGAAGCUCACACGCCACAGCAUCGAGAAUCAGAACGGAUUUCCAGCAGCGCAUCGGAGAUGCAGUUUUCAUUGCGGUCACGCACGCCAAGCCUGAACGGAUCACUCUGCAGCCCUUACAGCAGCCUCAGUCGCAAGUAUUAUCCCGCGCGAACUGGAAGUCCCGGAUUGAUAUUGCGAGAAUACGGACGUGGUCCAUCCGAAGAUGUGUCUAGGAUUUAUACUUAUUCGUACUUGACCGAAACGCCGACCCAAGGAUACUUGAGACGUCCGAUACAGCCGUACGACAAACCUCCGACUAGCCCACACUUUCAUAGACCUAGCUCGUCACGUUCGAUAAGAAGCAGUGGCGGACGCAGCAGCCGAUCUGGAAUGCGUGCUCUGGUCGAUGCUCUCAGCGAGACCAGACCAAAGUCACCGGCCAGUCAAGUAGAUAAUGACGAGCCAAUAGAGUUGGCGCAUUAUCCGGACGCCAUGAAACCUCCUCCUGGAACCAAACCGCCGAUCGAGAGAGAUGAUUUUCCCGCUCCACCUUAUCCUUAUACAGAUCCUGAAAGACGUAGACGAUGGUCCGACACUUAUAAGGGAGUACCUGCAUCCGACGACGAGGACGAGGUGGAUAACAAAACUUAUAUAAAGGAGGUGGAGGAGAAGUUGAAGAAAGAACAGGACGAGCUGAGCAAAAUCGAUACUGGAAUAGCGAAAGUGUUUUUGCAAGAUCGUGAAAAGGAUCGAGAGAAUUUGAGACACAGAGCCGCGAACGUUGAUCCUAGAAAUGCGUCGAGAACGCCAUCAGCUGCCAGAGAACCGACUUAUAGACUGCGAUACGAGAGUCCAGUUGGCGCUUCGCCUUCGAGGAACAUAGAUCACGCCAGACCGUGGGAGGACGAUGAUGGUUUCAGUUAUAGAUCUAGCGUAGGACCUAGUUACAACGUUGUGAGCUCCCUUCGGCACAUCCCGAAGCCAGGGUACGGUCUGGCACCGCGAAGUCACACCUUCUCCUCGACCGGCGGUUCUGUUUUUGUCGUCUAGGGUGAUUAUUCGUUCAGUGGGAUGGGAGACAAGACGCACAGCACUGAUUUCUCAUCUGGCAAAUCAGAUAUAUCGACAGGAAGCAUCACGGAUGUGGAUCGACGGGCAUUGAAUGAUGGUGGAAUGCUGCCAUCAUCUACCACGUAUACAGGUGGCCUAGGUUCGGUAGUUGGAAGUCACGGGGGCCAUCACGUGAGGAGAUCACUGCCAGACAUGGGGACAGCACCGUCCGAACCGCCGAAACUCUAUCCUUAUCAUUUACUUGUCAUCACAAACUAUAGGCUGCCCGCUGACGUGGAUCGUUGCAACCUCGAA